GGACGGAUAGCUGAGAUGGAAUAGCGCCUGGCUGAAAACCAGGAGACGGAGAUUCGAGCGCUCCCCCGUCCA
rfam:Blastopirellula marina DSM 3645 scf_1099463000750 genomic scaffold, whole genome shotgun sequence.